UAAAAAUCUUGGAGUCAAACACGUCAAUCACUCUCAACUGUGAAAUCUCUCUGUAUCCUAUUAAGGAAUUUAGAAUUGUCCGAAUAGGUUAACGUUUUCAGGCACAUAUCCUUUCCAUUCACAACGAGGGCCAGACAUCUCGGUUAAUAUGUCAGCACCCGACAAGAUCAGAUGAUGCACUUCUGGGAUUCGCUGGGAUACCCUCAUGUCACGCAGAGUAAAAUGGACCUAAAGCGACGGCGACCAUAGUGAAUGUUUGAGAUAACAUUAAACAGGCGCGUCCGUCCCAGCAAAAGAAAGUUUACAUUAGUCUCAAAACGGAUGAGUGCGAAUUAGUUAUGCAUAGGUCAUAAUGACCCUUAAAUACUUAUGUAUAAUAUUCAUUUGUUUUAUUUGUUAAACAAAUAUUUUGGCAAAUUAUGUUGACAGGUGUAAAUCUCUGUAUUAAUGGCUCUUUCAAUUUGAUAUUAAUACAUAAGCCCUUAGAUUAGAGACAAUGGUACUUUCCGUUUGUGACUCACUGCAGCAUUCUUUGACAUUAUUAGUAACUCAAGUUAACACUCCAUGCUAAAUGUGCCGCAUAUAUUCUAAUAAAAUCUAAUAAAUGUUAUCCACAGCAUUUAAAUCAA